rnacentral:tRNA from 1 species
GGAAGGUGCUGCUAAUGGUUGGCAAUCGGUCUGGAACACCGAGGGAUGGCACGUUGCUAUCGGGGUUCAAUUCCUCCUCCUUCCGCCA